rnacentral:pre_miRNA from 1 species
AUACAAAUCACCUGGGGAUUUUGUUAAAAUGCAGAUUCUGAUUCAGCAGAUCUACAAUGAGGCCUGAGAUUCUGCAUUUCUAACAAGCUCUAGGGGAUACCAGU